AAACUUUGUUUUGGAAGAAACAAAGCUCUUAUUGUGAAAGUCUGCUUCCUGACAGCUGGAGCUGUGACGCAUCAGGAAACAACUCACAUGAGUUGUUUCCUGUCGACAUUUUGGACUGUUUGAGGAAACUCCCUUCCUGCCUGCUUCCUGACAGGUGGAGCUGGGACUCAUUCCAGGAAACAGCUCACCUGUGUCAGAGAUUUCUCUCCAGGUGGAGAGCGACCCUCUUCUUCAUCAACUCUUCUUCAUCAACUCUUUGGACUGUUUGAAGAAACUAAAACAAACGGUCGUCUCCAUCAGAGUAAAGU